CCAAUAGCGUAUAUUAAAGUUGUUGCAGUUAAAAAGCUCGUAGUUGAAUUUCGGGGUUCUACCGUCGGUCGGGCUACCAAGUCUGUACUGGUGUGUAGAAUUUCUACCUUCUGGGGAACCAUCAUGUUAUUAAUUUGGCGUGGUGGGAAACCAGGACCUUUAUCUUGAAAAAAUUAGAGUGUUCAAAGCAGGCUUACGUCUGAAUACAUUAGCAUGGAAUAAUAGAAUAGGACGGUGGUCCUGUUUUGUUGGUUUCUGAAUCACCGUAAUGAUUAAUAGGGAUAGUUGGGGGCAUUAGUAUUCAAUUGUCAGAGGUGAAAUUCUUGGAUUUAUUGAAGACUAACUUCUGCGAAAGCAUUUGCCAAGGAUGUUUUCAUUAAUCAAGAACGAAAGUUAGGGGAUCGAAGACGAUCAGAUACCGUCGUAGUCUUAACCAUAAACUAUGCCGACCAGGGAUCGGACGAUGUUAACCUUUAUUGACUCGUUCGGCGCCUUACG
rnacentral:rRNA from 1 species